UACGUAGGGGGCAAGCGUUGUCCGGAAUCAUUGGGCGUAAAGAGCGUGUAGGCGGACUGGAAGGUCUGGUGUGAAAGCCCGGGGCUCAACCCCGGAGGGUCACUGGAAACCGACAGUCUUGAGUCCGGAAGAGGAGAGUGGAAUUCCUGGUGUAGCGGUGGAAUGCGCAGAUAUCAGGAGGAACACCAAUGGCGAAGGCAGCUCUCUGGUACGUGACUGACGCUGAGACGCGAAAGCGUGGGGAGCGAACAGG
rnacentral:rRNA from 1 species